rnacentral:rRNA from 1 species
GAUGAACGCUGGCGGCGUGCCUAAUACAUGCAAGUCGAGCGAACGGACGCGACGCUUGCUUCUUUCACGUUAGCGGCGGGCGGGUGAGUAACACGUGUAUACCCUACCUAUAAGACUGGGAUAACUUCGGGACACCGGAGCUAACACCGGAUAAUCUUUUGAACCGCAUGGUUCAAUGGUGAAUGUCGGCGUUGCUGUCACUUCUAGAUGGAUCCGCGCUGCAUUAGCUAGUUGGUAGGGUAACGGCUUACCAAGGCAACGAUGCCUGGCCGAGCUGAGAGGGUGAUAGCCCACACUGGAACUGAGCCACGGUCCAGACUCCUACGGGAGGCAGCAGUAGGGAAUCUUCCGCAAUGGGCGAAAGCCUGACGGAGCAACGCCGCGUGAGUGAUGAAGGUCUUCGGAUCGUAAAACUCUGUUAUUAGGGAAGAACAGAUGUGUAAGUAACUGUGCACAUCUUGACGGUACCUAAUCAGAAAGCCCCGGCUAACUACGUG